rnacentral:rRNA from 1 species
GAUGAACGCUGGCGGCGUGCCUAAUACAUGCGAGUCGAGCGAACGGACGAGAAGCUUGCUUCUCUGAUGUUAGCGGCGGACGGGUGAGUAACACGUGGAUAACCUACCUAUAAGACUGGGAUAACUUCGGGAAACCGUAGCUAAUACCGGAUAAUAUUUUGAACCGCAUGGUUCAAAAGUGAAAGACGGUCUUGCUGUCACUUAUAGAUGGAUCCGCGCUGCAUUAGCUAGUUGGUAAGGUAACGGCUUACCAAGGCAACGAUGCAUAGCCGACCUGAGAGGGUGAUCGGCCACACUGGAACUGAGACACGGUCCAGACUCCUACGGGAGGCAGCAGUAGGGAAUCUUCCGCAAUGGGCGAAAGCCUGACGGAGCAACGCCGCGUGAGUGAUGAAGGUCUUCGGAUCGUAAAACGCUGUUAUUAGGGAAGAACAUAUGUGUAAGUAACUGUGCACAUCUGGACGGUACCUAAUCAGAAAGCCACGGCUAACUACGG